GUUUGCGGUCGGACAGACAGCGCUGAACACGAUGCGCGGCCUGCUCCUGUUGACCACCGCCUCGCUGGCGCUCUCGCUGCCCGUGGGAGAUAUCGAGACCAUCUUCAAGGCCAAGCUUGAUACGAAAGAUAUCUGCUUCGAAACGGGACCGGUGAAGGGUGAUCCCUGCCACUUCUGCAAGUGCUUCACGCCAGACGAGUGCAUUCCGGUGUCUGCCGAAUGCGACUGGGACCGGCGCGAGAGUGAGC